GGAAGUGGAAGAAAGGGGGCGAUUCCUCUCGAGGGCUUGAGGUACCAGCCAGGGGCGGGGCUUCUGGACCUCCGGGGAGCGGGAAACAUGGGGGGCGGAGCCUCCAGACUCGCGCGGGGCCGUGCGGGCUGAGGGAUGGGGCCUGUGGGUCCCACGAGGCAGGUAGCUGUCCCGGAGGAUUUAAUCUCGUGUGGAGCACAUCCCCGAAGGCGUUGGGGACGGGAGAGGGAAAAGACCAGAGAUCCUUCCCAGACCCGGGGCGCUUGUAAACAGCAGCACGUGGGCCCAGCUUUGGGGGACGCGUCCACGCCCCCCUGACAGCGACGGCACCCCGUGGGGCGGCGAGACAGCGGCUAGACAGGGUGACCCAACUGCAUUCCUGGCCGGUGUGUCAGCGCCGCCUCCCGCCCGCUCUGCCGCGCUUUCGGAUCCUACUCCCGCAUUGGGGUGCCCUUCUUUUCAGGGAGCGAGCGGCUUCCCAGAGCGGAGGAAGGGUCAGCGGACGCGUCCUCUCCUCCGGGGGUCCCCAAACAGUUCCCGUGCGGGGGGUGAGAUACCGGGGCGUGGCCCCCGCGGGCUCCGGGACUACAAUUCCCAGAGGACCCCGGGCGGGGGAGCGCCCAACUCGGCUGUGGACGCCGCCAGAGACCGCAGUCCCAGCCUGGGCGCCGUGGCCGGGACAUCGUACAAGAUCCAAUCCGCCCUUUUUACUGACAGGGAGACUGAGGCUCAGAAACUCGAGGGGGACCCUGCUUCCUCCAGCCGAAGUCACGUUGUCCAACCUGUUCCCGGAGUCUGCCCCGCCCCGUCCUCCGCGCCCCGCCGCCGGAGCCGAAGCCGGAGGAAGACCCCUGGUGCCAGGAUCGGCCCCUGAUCCGCGCCCCGCCCCGGCCGGCACCAUGGACAGCGAGGCAUUCCAGAGCUCGGGGGACCUUCUGGACCUGAGCUUCCAGU